rnacentral:rRNA from 1 species
UACGAAGGGGGCUAGCGUUGCUCGGAAUCACUGGGCGUAAAGCGCACGUAGGCGGAUCUUUAAGUCAGGGGUGAAAUCCUGGAGCUCAACUCCAGAACUGCCUUUGAUACUGGGGAUCUCGAGUCCGGAAGAGGUGAGUGGAACUCCGAGUGUAGAGGUGAAAUUCGUAGAUAUUCGGAAGAACACCAGUGGCGAAGGCGGCUCACUGGACUGGUAUUGACGCUGAGGUGCGAAAGCGUGGGGAGCAAACAGG